rnacentral:rRNA from 1 species
UACGUAGGGUGCGAGCGUUAAUCGGAAUUACUGGGCGUAAAGUGUGCGUAGGCGGCCGCGCAAGUCGAGUGUGAAAGCCCCGGGCUUAACUUGGGAAUUGCGCUCGAAACUACGUGGCUGGAGUGUGGCAGAGGAAGGUGGAAUUCCAGGUGUAGCGGUGAAAUGCGUAGAGAUCUGGAGGAACACCGAUGGCGAAGGCAGCCUUCUGGGCCAACACUGACGCUCAUGCACGAAAGCGUGGGGAGCAAACAGG